CCCCCUCGCAAUGGGCAAAGAGACACCUUGGUGGUGGUGAUGUUACAUCAGUCAGGGGCAGAGCAGAUGGCAGUCCUUUGUUCAUCCUAGCCUGAUGCCUGGCUUGAUAGCCAAAGCUGUCUCAUGCCUAGGACUCAUAA